AAGAAUUUUGGUUUGAAUGUUGGUCGAUUAUUGAUCAGAUGAACUGAAAAUAUACACCAUUUUAGUAAUAUCCAACAGAACUUUUGAAUUUGAAAAUUAAAUGUGUUCGAGACUCAGGAAUACCUUUUGAUUUUGUACGUGAUCCAUGGGUACGUCCUCGUUUCCUUUUGUACGUCUGACCGGCUGAAAUGUUGGUACAGUGAACAUGAAAGUGAAACAAUGUGUGCAAGCGUAGGUUAAAACGUUGAACAGAGCCUAGCUUAAAGUGUCGAAAGAGUUUAAAAUUAGUUUAUUGUUAAAGCAUUGCGGAGGUAGAAGAAAUGAACACGAUUAUUAGAUAUCUCAUCUUUGUGUUUUUUUUUGUUUGUUAUAUUAUUGAUUGUUAAUAAUUUAUUUUUGUUGGUUUUGUGAAGAUGCGACUUGCUGACAACAGGGAACUGUGAUGCUGCGGCUUACAGUGGUGAAUAAAGAGUUAAGAGAAAAUGGGUACAAGAAAUCACAAAAUAAAACUGUAACGUUUUGCAGUUUAUACACGUUUAUUAAUUUUAGUCUGAAGAUCUUUAGUGAUGUUCACAAAACAUGAUAUAAAUAUAAUUCACAUUUUUCUAAAUUGGUUGAAAACUUUGAUAACAGUUUUUCGUAUCUUCCAUCGUCUAUGUUUAAUUAUUAUCAUAAAAUAAACAUGUCAUAUUGACCAUAUAACAAAAAUUUAUAUUUUCGUAUAUUUUAUUAUUUGAAUUUUAGAAAAUAACUAUAAAUUACUAAUACUAUUCAAAUUCUCACAUUAAAAUUUGUGAUCAGGAGUUUAAAACUUGUAUUGUUGAAAAUAUAAAUAAUCGUAAAAUAUAUGAGUGAAAAUUUUCAUUUAAUGGAUAUUCAAAAUAUAUAUAUAAAUAUUAAAUUAAAUACCAUAUAAAAAUAUAAUUUUUUUUAUUUCAAAAAUUUUAUUGAUGAUUUACUGUGUAUAUUCAAGAGCUGUUAAGAAUUACUAAGAUUAUUAAAAGCCUCACAUUAAUUUUUUUGUUAUCACGAGCUUACAAUUUUUGUUAUAAAAGAUGCAUAAAAUCGUAAAGCCAUAUGAUUAUUAAUUUUCAUUUAAUAGAUAUCUAUAUUUAAAUUCGUUAUAUAUUUAUGUUAAUAUCAUUUUUGCCCAAAAUAUUUUUUAUAAAAAACUAAUUUAUGUUAUUAUCAUUUAAAUUUAUAUAUAUCUAUACAAAAUACAUAAAAAAUGAGUGUUUAGAUUCAUCUACCCUAUAAUUUAUCAUUGCUCAAUUUUACUAUUUAAUUAAAUGCUAAAUAUAUAAAGAUAUUUUUCUUAAUAUUUGUAUUUUAAACACAAUACUUAUAAUUUGAAAAAAUAAAUAUUAAACAUAAUGAUAUAAUUUUAGCCUACAAUUUACUUCACAUCUCAAUAACAACUUACAAAAAACUAAUAACUUCUCACUUAUAUUUAUAUAAAUAAUCAAUUAUAAUAAAUAUAAAAUGCACCACAUAAGUUAUUAUAUGAUAAUAACUUCCAGUACAAAAGCAUGUAUACUCAGAAAGAAAUGAUGUAAUGCCACCGUAAGGAAAAAACAUAAAUAAUUAUCAACAUAGCAUAGCUUAUUUAGUCUUUAAAAAACUUGUAUAAAAUUAAACUAAUAUAUAUAUUUUUAAUCAAUAAAAAAUUAUAUGAAAUAUUUACUCUAACAAUUUAAACUUUUUAAAAAUAUUCAUCCUGCGGGCCGACAAACUAUUUUUUGAGCAUUUUUUACGGAGUUGUUAAAGUAAAAUCUUAGUUAUAGUGUUGCGGCAAAUAUUAUUUUUUAUUUUAUUUAAAUUAAUAAGAAAACGUAUUGCAUAUGGUUGUUAAUUUAAAUCUUUAUAUAUCUAAUCUAUUAAAACUGAAGUACAAAUAUGAAUUAACCCUUAAAAUAACUUUUUGUUUUUAUUUAUUUUUAUAUAAAUAUCUAAUUUAUUAAAACUGAAGUACAAAUAUGAAUUAACCCUUAAAAUAACCUUUUAAUUACACCUAAUGCCAUUUCCAUUUUUCAUUUUAACCAUAAUUAAUUUUAAUAAAUGAACUUACAAAAAAAACAUAACAAAUAUCAGUUUCCUUCAAAAUUAUAUUUGUUACACUAAAUUCCCUAAUAUUAUGCUAACGUCAAUCUUUCAUUUCCUAAAAUAAAAUAUUGCAAUCUUUUUUCAAAAAAACAUUAGUGGUGUCAAACAUUAAGCCAUUUAAUAUCCUUUGGAUUUCAUUUUUUCAUGUGGUCAAGCGAAUAAUUAAACCAAAACGUAAAUAUAUAUAUUUUAUUUAGACAUAUAAUUGUUCAGUUGAUACCUUGAAAUCAUUUGAAACAUGUUUAAUAUUUAGCCAUCUUUUCCACUUAGCAUAAAUGUUUUUAAUAUAAAUCUUAACAUAUGUACUGAUAAAUUUUAGUUAUAUCUUAUUGUUAUUAAUAGAUUUAUACAUCAUACAUCUAUUAUUAUUUACAUAGUUAUUGGGUUCAUACGUAAAUUUGAGGUCAUUGGAAAUGUUUCAAAAAAACCAUCCAUUUUUUUAAGUUAAAUACAUGUAUAUAUAAUUAUAUAGUUAUCAACCACUGUUAUUUCUUGGUUUAUAUAUCAUACAUAUAUCAGUUUGUAUACAUCAUACAAGUGUCAGUAUUGAUAUUUAUAUACUAUUGUUUAUACAAAAAUAUAUAUUAUCUUAUUGCAAAUGGACAUGUAUAAAAUUAUACUGUCAAGUAUAUUAGUGUAAAAAUACUAAAAAUUCAUUUAUGAUGCACUAACUAAAUAUUUUAAAUUGAAAUAUAAAUAAUAUCACAUUUACACUAGAGUUAAUGGCAAAUUUGGCUAGAAAUAAUCACUAACUAGAUCUCGAUCCGUGCAACCACGCAUGCUUUUGUUUUAUUUAUUUUUAUAUAAAUAUCUAAUUUAUUAAAACUGAAGUACAAAUAUGAAGUACUUAAAAUAACCUUUUAAUUACACCUAAUGCCAUUUCCAUUUUCCAUUUUAACCAUAAUUAAUUUUAAUAAAUGAACUUACAAAAAAAACAUAACAAAUAUCAGUUUCCUUCAAAAUUAUAUUUGUUACACUAAAUUCCCUAAUAUUAUGCUAACGUCAAUCUUUCAUUUCCUAAAAUAAAAUAUUGCAAUCUUUUUUGAAAUUAGUAAAAUAUUGUUUUAUUGUCAUAUUCAAAGAUAUUGUAACAUUUCACAAAUUUAGAAAUUUUUUUAAAAAUUAAAAUUUUCGCUUCAUAGAUUUAUAUUAUCGAGUAAAUAAUUAAAUAUUUAGUUUUCGUUUAAUUUUUAGAAUAAACUAUAUAGUUUAAAAUUUGUUUUCAUUGGUGUAAGGUAGUAAAGAUCAAUCAUUGUUAGAUAAUAUGAUUUUUUUUUAUUUUUUUAAAAAAUCUUUAUAAUUUUAAAAGUUAACAUCGACAAAUAUUUAAAUAUUUAACAUAUGGAGUUAUUGUAUUACAACAUUAAAUUAUAUCUAUUUAAUUUAUACUAUCUAUAAAUCCAAUGGAUCAUAUAUUCUUUAAAUCUAAUUAUUGAUAGCCCAAUAAAAAUUUCUGGUAGGCCCAAAAUUUAAAUGAUAAGAUUAGAGAUAAUUAAAUGUAACAUAACUUUCUAGGAAUAGAUCCAUUAGGUCCAUUUUUAGAUAUAUAAGAUCUUGGAUUCUUGAUCAAAGGUAAAUGAACAACCAAAAUCUAAAUUAUUCCACCAAAUUAGCAUAUCCAAUAUAUAAGUGAAUAAAACAUAAAAUGUCUCAAUAAUAAUUUAAAAAAAAAACAUAUAAUAUAAGAGAUUUUGUUUAAUUUUUUUUAGGAGAUAAUUAAAGGUUUCAUAUUUAAAUAAACACAAUCUUCAUAUCUUAUCAUUUUUUAUUAUUACUCAUAAAUUUCUUUUAUUUUAAGACUUUAAACUAAUUAUGUUUUGUGUAAAUGUUGCAAAUGUUAUAAGUUUAUAUUGGGUAUAUAAAAUAAAUUUUCAUCCAUAUAAAAGUGAAUAAUAUAUUUGAUUACUUUUCUACAAAAUCUGUAUAUUUUUAAAAUAUAAUUUUGCUUACUUGAAUAUCAAAAGACCUAAAAACAACCAAUACUACCUAUGUAGAAACAUUUAAAACUGCAAUCAAUCGUAAAUUUUGAUUAUAAAAAAUGGAAACACCCGUGCGGACGCACGGGUCAAACUCUAGUUUUAGGAUUAAUGUUAUUUGUUCAUAAAUUAAAUGUAACAUAACUUUCUAGGAAUAGAUCCAUUAGGUCCAUUUUUAGAUAUAUAAGAUCUUGGAUUCUUGAUCAACUGUAAAUGAACAACCAAAAUCUAAAUUAUUCCACCAAAUUAGCAUAUCCAAUAUAUAAGUGAAUAAAACAUAAAAUGUCUCAAUAAUAAUUUAAAAAAAAAACAUAUAAUAUAAGAGAUUUUGUUUAAUUAUUUUUAGGAGAUAAUUAAAGGUUUCAUAUUUAAAUAAACACAAUCUUCAUAUCUUAUCAUUUUUUAUUAUUACUCAUAAAUUUCUUUUAUUUUAAGACUUUAAACUAAUUAUGUUUUGUGUAAAUGUUGCAAAUGUUAUAAGUUUAUAUUGGGUAUAUAAAAUAAAUUUUCAUCCAUAUAAAAGUGAAUAAUAUAUUUGAUUACUUUUCUACAAAAUCUGUAUAUUUUUAAAAUAUAAUUUUGCUUACUUGAAUAUCCAAAGACCUAAAAACAACCAAUACUACCUAUGUAGAAACAUUUAAAACUGCAAUCAAUCGUAAAUUUUGAUUAUAAAAAAUGGAAACACCCGUGCGGACGCACGGGUCAAACUCUAGUUUUAGGAUUAAUGUUAUUUGUUCAUACAUGAUUUUUUUUUCAUUUGCUAAGGUUCAAUAAAUUUAUAAAAAAUACUUCUUUCAUCCUAUAUAAUUAUGUUCACAAAUAUGUAUUUACUAUAGAAAUUAUUUUAUUAAACCCUCAGUUUCAUUGCAUGUUUUCUAUUGUCUUUGUAGUUAAGUGUAGCCUCCUUCUUACUUCAUUUUUAUUCUCGAUUUAGGAGUUUGUCUUUGUAUAAUAAUAAUUUCGUCAUUUAUGUUUCCACUUUUUUUUGGGCCAUCUUUUCUAUCUAUGUUUAAUUAUAUUCAGCUUCUAUCUUCAAUUCUUUUCAUAUUUAUAUUUUUAUAUUAUUUUUGUCAAAUUCUUAUAUGAAAGAUUUUGAGUUAAAAAGUUACUUUGCAACUUUAUGUGUUGAAUGAGCAGAAUCGCUAACUAAAACUAAAUUAUGGUUUAAUUUGGAUUGGAUAUUCCAAUUCCUUGACCACAAAGAAACUGAAACCCCAAAAAAGAAAAACAAAAUUGCUGGAUCCUUCUAAUUUUUUAUUUUCUGAGAGAAAUAGGCAGAAGAUUAUGUAUUUACCUGAAGCUUCGAUGGGUUGAUCAUUAGGUGGGUUAUCCAUUCCGUUGAAACAGCGAUCCUCACAACCAACUUAUUCCUGAC
rnacentral:lncRNA from 1 species